CCUACGGGAGGCAGCAGUGGGGGCUAUUGCACAAUGGGGGGAACCCUGAUGCAGCGACGCCGCGUGGGUGAAGAAGCGCCUCGGCGCGUAAAGCUCUGUCAGCAGGGAAGAAAAUGACGGUACCUGAAGAAGAAGCCCCGGCUAACUACGUGCCAGCAGCCGCGGUAAUACGGAGGGGGCCAGCGUUAUCCGGAUUUACUGGGUGUAAAGGGAGUGCAGACGGUGUUGCAAGCCAGUAGUGAAAGCCCGGGGCCCAACCCCGGGACUGCUCUUGGAACUGCGUGGCUGGAGUGCAGGAGGGGCAGGCGGAAGUCCUGGUGUAGCGGUGAAAUGCGUAGAUAGCAGGAGGAACACCGAUGGCGAAGGCGGCCUACUGAACUGCAACUGACGUUGAGGCCCGAAAGCGUGGGGAGCAAACAGGAUUAGAUACCCGUGUAGUC
rnacentral:rRNA from 1 species